GAUUUUACAAGUCUUGUUGGACAAGUUAGGUUGGUAGAUUUCUUGUUCAAAACUCUCAAAGGCCCAAUUAGGUUCAGUCCUAGAAUUCUUGUUUUUUCUUUACAUAAAAAAAUUCUUGGAUUUAAGUAUUUAACUAAUUAGUUACUAUCCAUUAAAAAUUAUACCAGCUAACCAGUGCUUUGUGAGAGUCGACAACAUCAUGAAUUCAUGACUUAAAACACGAACACUCCUGAAAAUAAUGUUCUCCCUCAUCUUCACCAACACUGCAUCUUCGACAACAUCAAGUUUCUCCUUCCAAACCCACCCACCCCCCCCCCCCCCCCCCCCCCCCCCCAGCACACACACGAAAACAUAUAUAUAUAUAGUAUCAAGAUCAUAUAUACAAAUAACACACUCACGUUCUUUAUUUUAAUCUGAGUGAUAAAUAUAUAUAUAGUCAGCGACUAAUAGAUAUGACGACAGCUAAAAACAAAAAGAAAAAAAAUAUCAAAUUGAAAGCAGUAAUAUAAGCUGUAUCAUCACGAUCUUUCUACAGCUGUUUGCAUUAUGUUCAGAGCGAGCAAAAUAGCACCCAAGGAAAAGGAUAAAGUCGCACCCCCCCUGCAAAAUGUGACAAGAGAAACAUUCUGAGAAAGUACAUAUUCAGUAGCGCCCCCAAUUGAGCGAACGUAAAGGCGAAAACCUAAAAUUUCUGAGACUGAAAUUCGACGCUUCCACCGGUGUUAGUCGUCGCCGGUAGGUCUUGCCUUCUCGUGGUGACCUGUCUCUCUCCUUCCUCAGCCAUGGAUUCGUUGGAUGGCUUCUCAGCUCCGCCGUCGUCAACGGAUGCGUCUCCUCCUUUUACGAAUCCGUCUCUCACUUCGGAUUUAGUUGCAGCUCCUCUCCCUACGUCAUCUCCGCAAUCUCCUCCCUCUUCGUCG
rnacentral:lncRNA from 1 species